GAUGAACGCUAGCGGCAGGCUUAACACAUGCAAGUCGAGGGGCAGCACAGGUAGCAAUACUGGGUGGCGACCGGCAAACGGGUGCGGAACACGUACGCAACUUACCCUAAACAGAUGAAUAGCACUCGGAAACGGGGAUUAAUACAUCGUAAACUAUAAGAGUGGCAUCAUUUUUAUAGAAUAGCUGAGGCGGUUUAGGAUGAGCGUGCGUCCCAUUAGCUAGUUGGUAAGGUAACGGCUUACCAAGGCGACGAUGGGUAACUGGUGUGAGAGCACGACCAGUCACACGGGCACUGAGACACGGGCCCGACUCCUACGGGAGGCAGCAGUGAGGCAUAUUGGUCAAUGGACGCAAGUCUGAACCAGCCAUGCCGCGUGAAGGAUGAAGGCGUUCUGCGUUGUAAACUUCUUUUAUCAGGGAAGAAACCUCAGUAUUCUUAUUGAGCCGACGGUACCUGAUGAAUAAGCACCGGCUAACUCCGUGCCAGCAGCCGCAGUAAAAC
rnacentral:rRNA from 1 species